ensembl:lncRNA
GUGACAUUUGCUAAGUACUGUGUUCCAGGCAGUGAUUUAUGAGAGUUAUUUGUAUCAUCACCUAUGGGUCAAUGCUACUGCUAUAUCUAUCUACUUUACCUAGGAGGCGACUGAGGGUCAGAGCAUGAGGGAAUUUGCUCAGGGUCACCAAUGAGGUCACUCAGGCAAGGUAUCUAGAACUCGGCAAGGGUAACAGAAGCCUUUGGCCCUCAGCUUUGGUUCCUGAGGCCAAGUUUCAUAGAUGGAAAACUGAAGCUUUAGGAAAGUCAAGAGUCACACCCAAGACCACACAGGAAGUGAGAGAGCUGCCCCUGCUGGUUCUCCAGCAUGUAUGGAGGCACAGGCUCCUCUACAACAUGGAUGGGGCUGCCUUGCCAGCCGGGGCCUGAAAAUGCACCCAGGUGGACAGAAUCCCAAGUCCCUGGACAACCUGUGAAAUGCUAGCUGCCUGUGAACAGAUGAAAGGGAGGACAGGCAAUUGUCCUGGAAGGACGGAUCUGCAGACAGGACCUCCCCCAACUUUGACCGUGUACAUCGCGGGGUCUGCUUUCCCAGUCUGACCCCUGCCAGUGACAGCAGAGCUGUGAACCCUGGAAUACUGACAGCCAAGAAAAGUGGCAUCAUCAAACCCCUCCCAGCGCCUCUUCUCUCCUCUCAUGGCUGCUUUCAACAUCAAAGAAUAAUGAACUACUCCACUGCACAUCUGAAACUCAUACAAUAUUUCAAAUCAAC